rnacentral:misc_RNA from 1 species
UACGUAGGGAGCAAGCGUUGUCCGGAAUUACUGGGCGUAAAGAACGUGUAGGCGGCUCUUUAAGUCAGAUGUGAAAACUCAGGGCUCAACCUUGAGACUGCAUCUGAUACUGGAGAGCUUGAGUGCAGGAGAGGAAAGUGGAAUUCCUAGUGUAGCGGUGAAAUGCGUAGAGAUUAGGAGGAACACCAGUGGCGAAGGCGACUUUCUGGCCUGUAACUGACGCUGAGACGCGAAAGCGUGGGGAGCAAACAGG